rnacentral:lncRNA from 1 species
UAUAUUAACAUAUGAAUUUUGUAUUGUAAUAGUUAGAUGUAUUUCUAAGAUGUUAUAAGAGAACCUCCAAAGAGUCUUACAACAAAUCCCAGAACUAGGAUCUACUACAAAUGGACUGCCUGAUUUUUUAGGUAGCCCAAAGUAACCUCCGACAACACCCAACAAAACUGAAUAUGAAGUCAACCCUCCUUUGAUGAAAUUAUUCCCAUCACAGAGAGAUAGUCCCAAAACUAUUGAUAAAAUUUUCCUUUGUAAACACACUCCAUUCAACAAAAGAGUGACACACCUAAGACUUGAGAUACGAGGUCAGUGCUCUUUACAGUGAAAGCCUCCCAUGACAGAGAUGUUCCCAGAAUAGCACCAAGGACACAAAGAUGAGCUCCCUUGUUCCAUAGAAGCACAGAUAAAUCUGAACAGAAAUACCUCAAAUGCAAGCAUAAACCUUUAUAAACAAAGGCUGCAACAUACACCACAUACCUUUGUGCAGCGUAUAUUCAUACCAUAUUAAGAAAAACACAUCUUAAACCUAACUAAGAGAUCAACAAAUAUAUCAAUGAAACAUAAGAUAUGUUACAUAGAUUUAAGACACACAAAAUACUAUAUUGGCACCAUUUAGGAUAUGAAAAAUUCUAACUUUUUAUUUAUGUUUAAUUCAGGAUCAAAUUUUUAAUUGAAUCACCUUUUAAAUUGAGUAAAACACCACACUUCAAUCAUAUCAACCUUUUUUCUUCCUAAAAAAUAUUAUUCCUAUGAUUUCUAUGCAUCUCACUUGUAAUCUUAAGUGCAUUUUUAUUCUAUACUUAUUAUCAAAUCAUUAUAUAUCAAUGGGUAUAAUAUAUAUUACCUUUGUACAAUAUAUAACCAAUUUUUUUCUUUUUUUUGCAUGAUUAUUCCUUUCAAAAUUUCAAUCUUUGGUUUUUCUUUAGCAGAAACAACAACAAUAAGACGUAGAAUUUUUUAAAGUUGAAACUAUUCGAACCAAAAUAAUGAGGAGACAAUAACAGAGUUGGCUGCUGUUACUACCCUGCACUAAGCAUUAACCAGUCACUCAAUUUCAAUCUUACCCUUCCAAUUUCAAUUUAUAGAUAUCAUUAUUCUUUUGAGAAUGAUAAUUUACUCUGAUAUAAUCUAUUUUAAUUUCUUUAAGCUCACCAUUCUGAAAAGAAUCUGAAUGUUUGUAAAAUUAAAUUGAAAGAGUAAAAUUGAUAAUAAGUGACAGUUUAAUGCUUAUUGCAGGAAGAAACAGCUCCCAACUCUGUUACUGGCUCCUCACUAUUUGGGUUCGAAGAGUUUCAAAAUCAAAAGAUUUCAGGUCUUGUUGAGAUGUGUUACUGCUAAAACAAACCUGAAGCUGCAAUUUUGAAAGAAUGGUAAUGCCAAAACACAAUUUGGUUACAUAUUGCAUAAGAAAUAAAGACCAUGUAAUAAUUUGCAACUACUUUGAAAGAGUUUUGCUAAAGAAAUAAAUUACACAAGCACAAAAAAAAUAAAUCGAGUUUUACAAAAAUCACACACACAUUUACACUAGAAUUUAAAGAUGAAGUUAGUAGUAAAAAAAAUUAAUUACAAAAACAAAAAAUACCCACAACAUAUACUCAUACAUUAAUUAGCCUUUUACGUGAAAACAUUUGAAUUGUAUAAAUAACCUCAAAUUGAGAUAAAUAAUAAUAAUAAUAAUAAUAAUAAUAAUAAUAAUAAUAAUAAUAAUAAUAAUAAUAAUAAUAAUAACAGUUCUGAGAUAAAUAAUAAUAAUAAUAAUAAUUGUUCUGAGAUAAAUAAUAAUAAAAUAAUAAUAAGUGUUCUUACCAUUUAUUUGAGACCAAAUAUUCUCUAUCAAGUGUCUUCCGUCUUCUCUCUCUUCAAUUCUUCCAUUGUUCUUUUGAGUAUGUCUGUGAGAUUGGAGUACCUGCAAAGAUACUCUGACGCUCAAGUCAGUUGAAUUGUAUAUCUGAUUAUCUAGUUCAAAAUUGAAACAGUCAUUACUUUUUACCAUAAGGUCUCCUCUUAUUUAUGCUUUUCUAUCGAGCUUUGUGUUGUGUAAAGAUUAGACCUAAUAAUCCCUUAAUAAUGUUUUAUCUCUUUUAAUCAAUGUUAAUCUAUUUAAUUUACGGAUUAACGUGAUACUAGUUUUAGCCAAAAGGUCGUGCUACUCUAUAAGGUGAUCUAAUUUUUUGCUUCUUGAUUCUUGAUAUAAUAAUAAUAAUAAUAAUAAUAAUAAUAAAAUGAUACAAGAGACCAUAGAAAAAUCAAUAUAUAUAUAUAUAUAUAUAUAUAAUGAAAAACUAGUAGUGAGUAAAUAUGAAAAAUCAAAAAC